AUUGUUCAUCUGGUGAUCACUCCUUAUUUGGUUACAUCCUGUUUUAUUAACUUCUCAGCAAAGAAUGGUGAGAACCAAGUUUCUUUAGAUACAAUUUAGUGGAGAGAGAUAAUCAUGUGAGGCCGUGUCCUUGAGCUGGGCUGGGGUUGCUUUAAGUUAGAAUUAGGUUUUCUAAGCAAACUUGGAGAUGCUUUGGUAUUCUAUGUAAAAUGGAGUUACUUUGGUUUACUCAAACACAUCAUAACCAAUUUGUAUUCAAUGUGGAGCGUGAGCCCCAUUGUCUACCUGCUUCUGCAGAGCAUUAAAUCAAGCCUCUAAUUGAUUCCCACUGUGUCUGUUUGAUUGGCUUAAGGUGGACCCAGGGACGAACUGAAUUCACAUCAAUUUGGUGCCGUGACAGUCGGAUAUGGCUCUGGGUGGACAGUCUGACCCAUCACGGGACAGUGAGAUCCAGCGCGCCUCACAGCAUUUUGUCUGUGGAGGAUUCUCAUGGGCCCGGGAUGCGCCAGUCGUCACAAUGCGCCACAUCUGGGAAUCGAGGCAAGAGUGAAUGAAAGUAUGAACAGAGAGAGUGAAUGAGUAAGAGAGUGAAAUCCAAAGACGUCUUUUGGUUCUCCUCAGCCCAAGAGGGGCAAAGGGGGGGGGGAAAGCCCAGGGAGGGGCAAUUUUCAGCCCGAGAAAAGGGGGGAAAUCCUACAACCGAAGAAGGGCUGCCCACGCAGGGGCAAAUUUAAGCCAAAAUCCCGAGAGGGGAGAAAGCCAAAAUCCCGAGAGGGGGGGGCAAUUUAAGCCAAAAAGUCCAAGCAGGGGCGGUUUAAUCUUUCAGCUCGAGAAGGGGGAAAGCGAGAGAGAGAAAACAAAAACAAAAAAACCCCACAGCCGAAGUAGGGCUGCCUGGGAAGGAGUGACUUAAGCCAAGAGCCCAAGGAGGGGUGGCUUUGAGUCAGAAAUAAACAGUCUAAGCCCAACCAACUCAAAGGGGGGGCUAUGGGUAGCAGAAAUAGCAAGUACACAAAAUCUGAACGGAUUUCAUGUACACCUUUGGAGUGUGUGUUGAAAAAUUGGGUGAUUAUCAUGGGAGCAAAGAGUGCUCUUAGAAAACAUGUUUUGAAAUGCCAUUGUAUGAAAGUUUGGCCACUAUGAACUCGAGUCAGAGGCCUCCUGACUCCAAAAAUAACAUCCUUUUGCACUUGCCUCUGUUUUAUAAGUGUUAAAGAAGGAAGAAUGAUUUGUCUUUUGCAAAAAUCAUUUCUCUCUCUGUGUUCUGUUUCCAAGUUGCUUCCAGGCUUUGCCCUUGUGUUGCAAAAAAAAAAGAAAAAAAAGAAAAAAUCUUGCUGCUACUGUCCUGUUGUCACGAAGCCAAAAGAUAACUGUCCAAGCUGCAAAAGUUUCUCUGAACAAAAGGCUGCUUUUGUUCUCUUUUUCUUUUUUCCAUCUCUCUUCAACUACUUGAGUUGGAAAAGAGGAAAGAAAAUGGAGUUUUGAAGGAAUGCAUAUGGGAAUUACAGACAAAAGAAAAAGAAAAAAAACCUAGAAGGAAAUACGUAAAAGGAUUUUUGUUGGAGGUUGUUAACAACAACAAAAAGAAAAAUGCUUGAAAAGCACCACCCUGCUUUGCCUUCACAGCAGCUGAAUCUUAAAAUCCCAGACAUGAGAUUUAAUGAAAGGAAUUUUGUUUGCCAAUCCUGCAAGUGGCAAGGAGUUCCAAAGCACCAGUUUGCAAUUCACCUUGGAAAUUUCCCAGCUAAAAGGGAUUUGUCUGGGGCAGUAGAUGGCUGACUCCCUCACACAUGACCGAAUAUCAUGUGACUUUGGUGAGGAUCCUGGGGUUUCCAUUGCUACUACUUUGUUCUUAAUCCAGCUAACUUACUUCCUUUUGAGUCUACAGAAGACCAAGAACAUGAUUGCUUGCAAGCUGUGGACUACAUCUAUGCCAAGCCAUUCUGAUCUUAAAGAUGAACUGUACACAGAUGGAGGCAGCUUCAUGUAAGAUGGACAACGUAAGCUGGCUAUGGAGAAGUGACUGACCAUGCUCUUUCUCCAGGUAUCUCAGUCAGCACAGCUUGCAGAGCUCAUCACCUUCAAGGUAAUUUUUACACAACUAAUGGGGCCACUUGGAAAGAAAGAAGAUUUUUAACAGUGGGAAACAAGGAAGUAAAAUAUGGGACACAGAUAUCAGAACUCUAGACUGCUGUUACACUACUAGAAGAGGUUGCAGUCAUCCAUAGCAGAGGUCACCAGAGGAAAAUGACCCAGUGACAAAGGGUAAUUGGAUGGCAGAUGCUGCAGCUAAAACUGCUGCUCCUUCUAUUCCUGUUUCCAAGCAUCUUUGAUUCCUGUGCUAACUAUCUUGGCACAAACCCACCCCCACAUAUUCAAAAAAAAAAAAAGGACAUCGACUUUGCACCACAGCAGGGGGGCGCAUUUAGAAGAGGAUGGCUGGUAAAGAACAGCAGAUGGAUGUGGAAUUCUUGCAGAACCAAACCUUUGGUUUUUUUUCCUAGUCAAUACAAAGACACUUUUGUGCCUCUUGGAUGUACCCUUUUGCAGAACAUGUGGCAACAGCCUGUGUAAUUUGUGUAGUAAACAAUCCUACUUUACCAAGGUAUAGUAUCUCACUGGACAUACUGUGUGGGCUAUCUUUUUCCUUGUCUCGAGAGGUUGUUUUCACCUUACAGAAAUGUCAAACCCAAACUUGAAUCCAUCAGUGACUGGUUAAUUAUGAGGCUAAAGAUGGAGAACGGGGACACCACAACUAUCUACACAUUACUGACGAUGAAGUCAGUUAUACUGGAUGGAGACUGAUUGCCCUGACAAAGGCCUGUAAGUAUGAUUGUCAGCCAACGUAGUGCAGUGGUUAGAGUGCUGGAUUAAGACCGGGAAAACCCGAGUCCAAAUCCUCAUUCAGCCAAGACACUUGCUGGGCGACACAGAGCCUACAACUCAAAAGAUUUGGCCUGCCUCACAGGGUUGUUGUAAGGAGAAAGAACAGGAUACAGAAGAGAAUGUGAGAUGCCACAUGGAAACUGGACUUUGUUAGCAGUGACUAUGCUUGACCUGAAAGGCUUUAAUGCCUCCUCAAAACCCCAAACUCACACGGGGGGUGAAAAAUGUGAAUGCCUUUUUCUUCUUGACUUUAUUGCCUUGCUUUUGCCCAGGAUUGCUGUUUUGUUCUCGUGAUCAGAAACCAGCCUACAACACAAGCCAGCCAGCCUCCAAGAAGCACCGGCUCCCACACACAGCCUCACGCCUGGCCACCAAGCCUCAAAUGAAGACAAAGAAAAAAAAUUGCCAAAAGACCAAAUUGAAAUUAGCCUCAGGUUUUAUCCAUCCUUUGUAUUAUUUGCCUUGAAAACUUGACUUUUCCUUUUGUGCUAACAGUUGGCACCCAGAGACUUAGUCUCAGGAUGCUGUCCCUACAUGGGGGGGGAGGGAAUUGGCAACUCACUUGCCUGUCUUUCUCUCAAGUAAACAGGUUUGCAACCAACAGUGCCUUGAAUUGUCUUUCCAAGAAGGAUUGGUCCUCCCCAGAUCGAAGGAAUACCUGGAUCCAUCGCCAGAAUGUGAUCCCAAGGGAGUCUCCAUCAACAGUGACCCAGGAAAACUAACAAUCAGCAGCAGCAGCUACCCGGGGGCAGUCCCUAUCUGCAUUUCCAGUCCAACCCAAUGGUGACAGAACGUCUAUCUACUACCCUGUCCUGUGUUCGAGGAAGAAGGCCUAAUGCACAGUUCAUCUUCCUGCUUCCAAGUGUUAUAGGAGAAGGAUAGACAACAAACGCCUGAAGACUGCCUGAUAACAAACAAGCAAGCCAAUUUGUUCACUUUUCUGUGGAGUCAUACACGUAACAGCAUUUCCCCAAGCUGUAAAGCCCUGGAACCAUCCUACCUGGGUAAGAUACCUUGCCAAAGACACUAUUUCUAAUUCUGCCAAAGACACUAUUUCAGAUUGCCCACAAGGGGAGGGAGUCAAGGCUCCCAAACACAUGAACAUUUAAGCUUGUCUGUGGACACUAGCCAAACAAGCCAAAACAACACGGAUCAGGAUAGCCAAAAUCCUGCAACGUUUUACAAGAGCAUUUGGUUCUCAACUGAAGGACUAAAAUAUAUUUUUCCUUACCAAGGACUUUUAGAUUUUGAAUUCUAAAGCUCUCCAUGGCUUCCUUUUUGGCCAUGACAGACUUUAGAGGACACUAAGGGGGGUGGGAGUUGAUGAUUUGCACCACUUUCUUAUAUUACUUUCUUGUAGUGACUAUGUGCUAUCAUUAUGUUGAAAACCUUGCUAUCUCCUGUGCUGUAAGGUCAUGGACCUCACAUGCUUGCUCUCCAGUCAUUUCCUUAUUGUUUCACUUAUAUAUUGUGCCAAUCAUCUCAUUGUUUCAACCAGAGCAUUUACCUGCAAGUCUGCACCUAUCCCCAAGUUACUGAUCCCUUUAUGCUCUAAGACAUUAAGCUGGCCCAAGCUUUACCUACAAUUUUAUAGACACUUGUAUUAAUCAGCGUGAUUAUACAUGACUUGUCAUUGCUAUCGCUUUCCACAAGCUGAUAACCCAUUAAUCACCAGAAGCAUCUGGUUCCACAAUGCAAGACUGUUAUUUAUACUUUAUUUGGGAUAAAGAUGGGUUAAAAUCAUGUUGCUUGCUAUAAGUUGUAUGAUCUUUAUAUGUACACUUUGCUGUUAUGUGUAAAAUUUAUAUAUAUAUAUCAAAUCAUGCCAGAUAUGGGUGGUUAAGGAUAUGUGUGUGUGUGAUGUAUAGAAUUAUAUAAUUAUGUUUGUAGCUCUAGAAUAUUGUAUGCAAUGUGCCUGCCAUAGCACAUACCAUUUCUGUAAAAACUAUGCUUAAUGCAUCACAAAUGUUUAAGGCAUCCCAAAACCACAUAUGUUCCAAACCCUUUAGCCACACGAAACACAAAGUUCCAUCAAUGGGCAAGAACUAUAUUCCAAGAUUAAGAGUUUGUGUGUUAGAAAGAGCUACUGUUAAUAUUUUCAAACAGUUAGAACUUUCAUUAACUAAUAUGGAGAGCCUAUUGAUUUAUGGGCAAAGAAGAUAAUUCUGGUUGUAUUUUCUUUGUAUUAAUAAUCACAUGUUGCUGCUUACAAUGUAUUACAGCUUUAAACCAAAUGUUUAUGAGAACCUUUAAACCUUGCCAUAGUAUAAGACCCAUACAUACAGCUGUACCUUUACAAACUUUAAUUAAGACAUCCUGAAGAUUCAGGAUGAUCCAGUUGUUUCAGGGGGGAAUUGAUGUGUUUGAGUAAACCAAAGUAACUCCAUUUUACAUAGAAUACCAAAGCAUCUCCAAGUUUGCUUAGAAAACCUAAUUCUAACUUAAAGCAACCCCAGCCCAGCUCAGGCCAGCUCAAGGACACGGCCUCACAUGAUUAUCUCUCUCCACUAAAUUGUAUCUAAAGAAACUUGGUUCUCACCAUUCUUUGCUGAGAAGUUAAUAAAACAGGAUGUAACCAAAUAAGGAGUGAUCACCAGAUGAACAAUGAAUCAUUCGCAUGCGUACUAGAUACUUAGUCCACCAUUUUACUGCCACGUAUACUAUGUCAGCAUCAUUCAGAUUGUCUGUAUAAAUGUAAGAUGCACCUAUAACCAAUUUGUAUUCAAUGUGGAGCGUGAGCCCCAUUGUCUACCUGCUUCUGCAGAGCAUUAAAUCAAGCCUCUAAUUGA